UGCGCGCCGAUGUUUACAAAGGAAUGUCCAGUAUUUUUGGUGUCUUUCGGUGAUACUGAUACACAUUAGAACAACUGAAUAAAAUCUCCUUUCAAUUAAUUAUCGAUAUAUCUGGUGUUUUACGUAAGACUGAGUCCCAAUAUUAUUGCAAUUCGGUAGCAAAGAUGUUGACACCACAUGUCGUCUGAUGAUGAGUUUUACGGGAUCGAAUAAGGUUUGGUCAUUGUAUUCCCUGAAAGGAACAAGAGGAGAAAAGAAACUGGAAGACCUGGCUAUCCGCAGGCCAAUGCUGGCUGCAGGUCAAUAUUGAAUGCUCUUAUGAAAACUCAUAAGACAAUAACAAAAAAAGAAGCUGAGGAUGCUGUUUUUAAGACAUGUUCCAUUCAAAAAAGGUGGAUUGAAAUUUAAAGGUAGG